rnacentral:rRNA from 1 species
UACGAAGGGACCUAGCGUUGUUCGGAAUGACUGGGCGUAAAGGGCGCGUAGGCGGUUUUUUAAGUCAGGUGUGAAAGCCCUGGGCUCAACCUAGGAAUGGCAUUUGAUACUGGAAGACUUGAGUAUGAGAGGGGAUAGCGGAAUUGCGAGUGUAGAAGUGAAAUUCGUAGAUAUUCGCAGGAACACCGAUGGCGAAGGCAGCUAUCUGGAUCAAUACUGACGCUGAGGCGCGAAAGCGUGGGGAGCAAACAGG